GCCCUCUUCUGUGUCCCCACCAAAUAGACCUGUGAAGCAACAAGAAUCUGCUGAUUUCUUUGAGCCGAACAUGGAGCCAAAAGUCGAAUCCUCACAGAUGGGCAGGCCACACCCUGAGACAAGUAGAUGGGCAGUGGAAUGGAGCAAUACAACAAUGGUGGCCUUGGAUCAGAAGAAGGUGUAGAUUAGAAGCUCCUUGGAACAAGGACCACGCACCUCACAUUUGUACAGUGAUGAAAAUUGAUGAAAAAUUACCAGCAAUAAGUUGAAAACCAGAGUGGAAUGUCCUUCAUAAUAAUUGGGUGCAGAUUUGUUCAAUAUAACUGCAGAUCCAGUGAUUCUGGAAUUACAUCAAGUGACGGAGAUUUGUCUCUUCUCUAAUGGCCAUGUUUAAAUUCCUGGGAUGCACAGAUGUAAUUUGUCUUGUUGAGUGUCUGCUUCCCUGUCCUUUCCUUACUUGAUGUACCAUAUGAAAUCAAGCCAGUGGCCAACAUCCCUAAAAACUAUAAGGAUGCAGUCUUGCCAGGGGCAUGCUCUUGCUGGAUGAAGUCCAAAAUAUCCACUUCUGAGAGCACGGGUGAUCAGUGAAAGCAGAGGAAACCACCCCCAGAGACCCACUGCAGUCCCUAGAGAUGUCUAGAGACUGUUCCACACUGGACUAUAGCCUUCUGACAUUCACAUGCAACUCUAGGCUACUUUCCAAUUCUACGGCCAUUGACCCAGUUCCAAGCUCUAUGGCUCCCCAAAAUUCUCCUGAUGGUGGCCAAAAAGCCAAAAACAAAACAAAACAAAAAAAGGAGGUAAGAGAGAACUGUCUGCCAGCAGAGAGUGAUAAGUGGUUCAGCAUCUCAAACACAGUGUGUAUAUCAAAAGGAAAAACAAAUAAACU